rnacentral:tRNA from 1 species
GCCUGGGUGGCUCAGUCGGUUUAGCAUCUGACUUCAGUUCAGGUCAUGAUCUCACAGCUUGUGAGUUCAGAGUCCCGCAUCAGGCU